AUGGUCUCCUGUUCUCUGCAG
rnacentral:miRNA from 1 species